rnacentral:tRNA from 1 species
GCACGUGUCGCCAAGUCCGGUCUAAGGCUACGGUCUGCAACACCGUCAUCGCCGGUUCAAAUCCGGCCACGUGCUCCA